CCUACGGGUGGCAGCAGUGGGGAAUAUUGGACAAUGGGCGAAAGCCUGAUCCAGCCAUGCCGCGUGUGUGAAGAAGGCCUUCGGGUUGUAAAGCACUUUCAGUGGGGAAGAAAGCCUUGGGGCUAAUACCCUCGAGGAAGGACAUCACCCACAGAAGAAGCACCGGCUAACUCCGGGCCAGCAGCCGCGGUAAUACGGAGGGUGCGAGCGUUAAUCGGAAUUACUGGGCGUAAAGCGCGCGUAGGCGGUCUGAUAAGCCGGUUGUGAAAGCCCCGGGCUCAACCUGGGAACGGCAUCCGGAACUGUCAGGCUAGAGUGCAGGAGAGGAAGGGAGAAUUCCCGGUGUAGCGGUGAAAUGCGUAGAGAUCGGGAGGAAUACCAGUGGCGAAGGCGGCCUUCUGGACUGACACUGACGCUGAGGUGCGAAAGCGUGGGUAGCAAACAGGAUUAGAUACCCGUGUAGUC
rnacentral:rRNA from 1 species